rnacentral:rRNA from 1 species
AGGGUUUGAUCAUGGCUCAGAACGUACGCUGGCGGCACGCCUAACACAUGCAAGUCGAACGAAGUAGCAAUACUUAGUGGCAGACGGGUGAGUAACAUGUAGGUAUCUACCCUUUGGCCUGGAAUAACACGAGGAAACUUGUGCUAAUACCGGAUAAGUCUUUACGGAGAAAGCUUUAUGCACCAUUGGAUGAGCCUGCACUUGAUUAGUUUGUUGGUGGGGUAAUGGCCUACCAAGACUGUGAUCAAUAGCUGAUUUGAGAGGAUGAUCAGCCACAUUGGGACUGAGACACGGCCCAAACUCCUACGGGAGGCAGCAGUGGGGAAUCUUGCACAAUGGAGGAAACUCUGAUGCAGCGAUGCCGCGUGAGUGAAGAAGGCCCUUGGGUUGUAAAGCUCUUUCGUCGGGGAAGAAAAUGACUGUACCCGAAUAAGAAGGUCCGGCUAACUUCGUGCCAGCAGCCGCGGUAAUACGAAGGGACCUAGCGUAGUUCGGAAUUACUGGGCUUAAAGAGUUCGUAGGUGGUUGAAAAAGUUGGUGGUGAAAUCCCAGAGCUUAACUCUGGAACUGCCAUCAAAACUUUUCAGCUAGAGUAUGAUAGAGGAAAGCAGAAUUUCUAGUGUAGAGGUGAAAUUCGUAGAUAUUAGAAAGAAUACCAAUUGCGAAGGCAGCUUUCUGGAUCAUUACUGACACUGAGGAACGAAAGCAUGGGUAGCGAAGAGGAUUAGAUACCCUCGUAGUCCAUGCCGUAAACGAUGUGUGUUAGACGUUGGAAAUUUAUUUUCAGUGUCGCAGCGAAAGCGAUAAACACACCGCCUG